GAUGAAGAACGUAGCGAAAUGCGAUAAGUAGUGUGAAUUGCAGAAUUCAGUGAAUCAUCGAAUCUUUGAACGCACAUUGCGCCCCCUGGUAUUCCGGGGGGCAUGCCUGUCCGAGCGUCAUUACAACCCUCAAGCUCAGCUUGGUGUUGGGCCCCGCCGCCCCGGCGGGCCCUAAAGUCAGUGGCGGUGCCGUCCGGCUCCGAGCGUAGUAAUUCUUCUCGCUCUGGAGGUCCGGUCGCGUGCUCGCCAGCAACCCCCAAUUUUUUCAGGUUGACCUCGGAUCAGGUAGGGAUACCCGCUGAACUUAAGCAUAUCAAUAAGCGGAGGA
rnacentral:misc_RNA from 1 species